rnacentral:lncRNA from 1 species
CUGGGAACACCUUUGUGAGUGCAAAACUGCUAAACUCCGUCUUCUUUAUCGUCAUUCACUUGGUGAAUUGAAUGACUUGGCAUUUUCAAUUGACAAAUAUAUUUCUGAAGAAAAAGCCGAGAGAUGGGAACACCUUUGUGAGUGCAAAACUGCUAAACUCCGUCUUCUUUAUCGUCAUUCACUUGGUGAAUUGAAUGACUUGGCAUUUUCAAUUGACAAAUAUAUUUCUGAAGAAAAAGCCGAGAGUAGAA